UACGUAGGGGGCAAGCGUUGUCCGGAUUUAUUGGGCGUAAAGAGCGUGUAGGCGGCUUGGCAGGUCCGCUGUGAAAACUCGAGGCUCAACCUCGAGAUGUCGGCGGAAACCACUUGGCUAGAGUCCGGAAGAGGAGAGUGGAAUUCCUGGUGUAGCGGUGAAAUGCGCAGAUAUCAGGAAGAACACCUAUGGCGAAGGCAGCUCUCUGGGACGGUACUGACGCUGAGACGCGAAAGCGUGGGGAGCGAACAGG
rnacentral:rRNA from 1 species